rnacentral:rRNA from 1 species
CAGUCGCCGCGGUAAUACGAAGGGGGCUAGCGUUGCUCGGAAUCACUGGGCGUAAAGGGUGCGUAGGCGGGUCUUUAAGUCAGGGGUGAAAUCCUGGAGCUCAACUCCAGAACUGCCUUUGAUACUGAAGAUCUUGAGUUCGGGAGAGGUGAGUGGAACUGCGAGUGUAGAGGUGAAAUUCGUAGAUAUUCGCAAGAACACCAGUGGCGAAGGCGGCUCACUGGCCCGAUACUGACGCUGAGGCACGAAAGCGUGGGGAGCAAACAGGAUUAGAGACCCCCGUAGUCCCUGUCUCUUAUAC